AUUGAACGCUGGCGGCAGGCCUAACACAUGCAAGUCGAGCGGAUGAAGGGAGCUUGCUCCUGGAUUCAGCGGCGGACGGGUGAGUAAUGCCUAGGAAUCUGCCUGGUAGUGGGGGAUAACGUCCGGAAACGGGCGCUAAUACCGCAUCCGUCCUGAGGGAGAAAGUGGGGGAUCUUCGGACCUCACGCUAUCAGAUGAGCCUAGGUCGGAUUAGCUAGUUGGUGGGGUAAAGGCCUACCAAGGCGACGAUCCGUAACUGGUCUGAGAGGAUGAUCAGUCACACUGGAACUUGGACACGGUCCAGACUCCUACGGGAGGCAGCAGUGGGGAAUAUUGGACAAUGGGCGAAAGCCUGAUCCAGCCAUGCCGCGUGUGUGAAGAAGGUCUUCGGAUUGUAAAGCACUUUAAGUUGGGAGGAAGGGCAGUAAGUUAAUACCUUGCUGUUUUGACGUUACCAACAGAAUAAGCACCGGCUAACUUCGUG
rnacentral:rRNA from 1 species